CAACUAUUUAUUGGUGAUACAUUGGUCUGGACAAUCUGUGUUUUGGAACUUCAAUAUUUGAUACAAUUUUUCUGCUUCUUUGACGCUACAUAACCUUCAGGUGUCAGAUUUGCUGUUCUCAAGGUGCCCUGUUUCUCAAGGUUUGUAACAGGAAGAUGUGGAAAACAAACAAAACCUUUCAUAAUUUGAAGCUACGGAUACUUCAGGAAAUUAUUCUUUCUUUAUGGAAAAUUCAAUUUUCUCUGAAUUUUCAGUGGAAGCUUUGGCUGUCUAUCAUUUCAAGUCUCUUGGAUUCUGCUGAACAUCUUUGUCACAACACUCCAUUUAAAAAUUGAACUAAUCUGCUUAUUCUAGAGUUGGACAGUUUAUCACAGAUGAUAAGAUGAUUGAACCAAAUACAAAAUCACUCUAUUCAUGGCAGUCCAUAUUGAUACUAAUUAGUAUCUUUGCUUGCAAUUUGCCCUCCAUGGUUUUCUUUUUUUGCAGUACUCAUUUAUCUUCUUUAUCUAAAGCUGAAUUUAUCCACUAAAUCUGCAGGGAAUUAAAUUUGCUUAUAUCAUGAAGAAAUUAACUUUGCUGGAUGGAGAAAUUGUGCCCUGAUGUUUGUAGUAUGAAGAAUGGUGUAAUAAGUUUGGGUGAACUCGGAGUAUUUUCAGAAUCCACCUAGUAGGGGAAAUGGAUGAGGAAAAAUACAACUAUCAUUUUACCUCGUGGAAGAACUGAAAGCAAAGUGAUACUGUUAGUGGGGAAAAAGGUCCCAGUGACUGCAUGCUCAGAACAUUCUCUUAAAAAUAAAGUGAAUUUCUUAGAUGGUAUCGCAUUAAA